ACGAACGCUGGCGGCGUGCUUAACCCAUGCAAGUCGAACGGAAAGGCCCUGCAUUUGUGGGGUGCUCGAGUGGCGAACGGGUGAGUAACACGUGAGUCACCUGCCCUUGCCUUUGGGAUAACUUCAGGAAACUGGGGCUAAUACCGGAUCGGCGCUCCUGCUGCAUGGUGGGGGUUGGAAAGUUUCGGCGGUUGGGGAUGGACUCGCGGCUUAUCAGCUUGUUGGUGGGGUAGUGGCUUACCGAGGCUUUGACGGGUAGCCGGCCUGAGAGGGGGGCCGGCCACAUUGGGACUGAGAUACGGCCCAGACUCCUACGGGAGGCAGCAGUGGGGAAUAUUGCACAAUGGGCGGAAGCCUGAUGCAGCAACGCCGCGUGCGGGAUGACGGCCUUCGGGUUGUAAACCGCUUUCGCCUGUGACGAAGCGUGAGUGACGGUAAUGGGUAAAGAAGCACCGGCUAACUACGUG
rnacentral:rRNA from 1 species